AUCCCAGUGCACGGGCUUUACACGUAUCAGUGAGGAAAUAUCCGAGAUCGUGUUUUUGCUAGUUGAAAACUACCAAUUGACUACUUCAAGCGAGCCUUCGGGCCCGCUUGGGAAUUUUUGAAACACCACUGCCUUGUCUCUUUGCUGGU
rnacentral:snRNA from 1 species